rnacentral:rRNA from 1 species
AGUUGCAGGCUACAAGAUUAAUACACAAAACUCUGCUCGGAAGCUAAGCAGAGUUGGGCCUGGUUAGUACUUGGAUGGGAGACCACUUAGGAAGACCAGGUGCUGCAGGUG